CGGCAGGCCUAAUACAUGCAAGUCGAGGGGUAACAGGAAGUGCUUGCACUUCGCUGACGACCGGCGCACGGGUGAGUAUCGCGUAUACAAUCUGCCUCAUACUAGAGCAUAGCCCGAAGAAAUUUGGAUUAAUACUCUAUAGUAUCUAAAAAAGGCAUCUUUUUUAGAUUAAAGGUUACGGUAUGAGAUGAGUAUGCGUUCUAUUAGUUUGUAGGUGUGGUAACGGCACACCUAGACUACGAUAGAUAGGGGCCCUGAGAGGGGGACCCCCCACACUGGUACUGAGACACGGACCAGACUCCUACGGGAGGCAGCAGUAAGGAAUAUUGGUCAAUGGACGAAAGUCUGAACCAGCCAUGCCGCGUGCAGGAUGACGGCCCUACGGGUUGUAAACUGCUUUUAUACAGGAAGAAAAACUUUCUCGUGAGAGAGCUUGACGGUACUGUAAGAAUAAGGAUCGGCUAACUCCGUGCCAGCAGCCGCGGUAAUACGGAGGAUCCAAGCGUUAUCCGGAAUCAUUGGGUUUAAAGGGUCCGUAGGUGGACAGGUAAGUCAGAGGUGAAAUCCUGCAGCUCAACUGUAGAACUGCCUUUGAUACUGUUUGUCUUGAGUUAUUGUGAAGUGGUUAGAAUGUGUAGUGUAGCGGUGAAAUGCAUAGAUAUUACACAGAAUACCGAUUGCGAAGGCAGAUCACUAACAAUUAACUGACACUGAUGGACGAAAGCGUGGGUAGCGAACAGGAUUAGAUA
rnacentral:rRNA from 1 species